rnacentral:rRNA from 1 species
GCGGCCUAUCAGCUUGUUGGUGAGGUAAUGGCUCACCAAGGCGACGACGGGUAGCCGGCCUGAGAGGGCGACCGGCCACACUGGGACUGAGACACGGCCCAGACUCCUACGGGAGGCAGCAGUGGGGAAUAUUGGGCAAUGGACGCAAGUCUGACCCAGCGACGCCGCGUGCGGGAUGAAGGCCUUCGGGUUGUAAACCGCUUUCAGCAGGGAAGAAGCGAAAGUGACGGUACCUGCAAAAGAAGCACCGGCUAACUAUGUGCCAGCAGCCGCGGUAAUACAUAGGGUGCAAGCGUUGUCCGGAAUUAUUGGGCGUAAAGAGCUCGUAGGUGGUUCGUCACGUCGGAUGUGAAAAUCUGGGGCUUAACUCCAGACCUGCAUUCGAUACGGGCGAGCUAGAGUGUGGUAGGGGAGACUGGAAUUCCU